rnacentral:lncRNA from 1 species
CGGCCGGAGGCAUUGGAAGCUCCACGACCACCUCGCCGUGCCAUUACGAUCGCUCUGAGAUUCGGCCCUUCCUCUAGCGCCAACUGUUGCUGGGGGUCCAAACCGAGAACGAUUGGCACAGCGGUGUGAACGGGGUUCCCUUGGAAUUGCUUCGGUUACGCUCCUCCUUCCGCCGGGAAACCUGCAAGCAAGCCUCCCACCACCGGGGUAGUGGGGGCCCUCCGACGGUCAAGUCAG